GGACAAGAAGCGAAAAAUCGCUAUCGGUUUCGACCCGGUCCUUGGUCCCUGACCCUUGUUCU
rnacentral:tRNA from 1 species